rnacentral:rRNA from 1 species
UACGUAGGGGGCAAGCGUUGUCCGGAUUUAUUGGGCGUAAAGAGCGUGUAGGCGGUUUGGUAGGUCCGUUGUGAAAACUCGAGGCUCAACCUCGAGACGCCGAUGGAAACCAUCAGACUAGAGUCCGGAAGAGGAGAGUGGAAUUCCUGGUGUAGCGGUGAAAUGCGCAGAUAUCAGGAGGAACACCGGUGGCGAAGGCGGGUCUCUGGGCCGAUACUGACACUGAGGAGCGAAAGCGUGGGGAGCGAACAGG